rnacentral:lncRNA from 1 species
AAGAAGAAACUUGCAUUGAAAAAAAAAAAAAAAAGUAUUUAUAUAUAUAUACAGAGAGCUUCCAUUGAGGGAUCCCUCAAAUAAGCUUAUUUGAGGGACACCCCUUGUAGGCCCCACUCCGGAUUGUAUUUCACUAAUCCAAACCGUCUAUUUUGUAGAUACUCAUUCAAAGAUCAUCUCUACAAAAAAUCACUUGAAUCCGAUAUCAUGUGACCACUCAAUUGAGUUAUUGAAAUUUUAGUACUUUUCUUAAAGCACCGUGUUCAUUGAUUU